GACGAACGCUGGCGGCGUGCCUAAUACAUGCAAGUAGAACGCUGAAGGAGGAGCUUGCUCUUCUGGAUGAGUUGCGCACGGGUGAGUAACGCGUAGGUAACCUGCCUGGUAGCGGGGGAUAACUAUUGGAAACGAUAGCUAAUACCGCAUAAGAGUAGAUGUUGCAUGACAUUUGCUUAAAAGGUGCAAUUGCAUCACUACCAGAUGGACCUGCGUUGUAUUAGCUAGUUGGUGGGGUAACGGCUCACCAAGGCGACGAUACAUAGCCGACCUGAGAGGGUGAUCGGCCACACUGGGACUGAGACACGGCCCAGACUCCUACGGGAGGCAGCAGUAGGGAAUCUUCGGCAAUGGACGGAAGUCUGACCGAGCAACGCCGCGUGAGUGAAGAAGGUUUUCGGAUCGUAAAGCUCUGUUGUAAGAGAAGAACGAGUGUGAGAGUGGAAAGUUCACACUGUGACGGUAUCUUACCAGAAAGGGACGGCUAACUACGUG
rnacentral:rRNA from 1 species